UGAAUCUGUGAUGCAGGGGGGUGACGCUAAAUGACUGUCUGAGGCAGGGGGAUGACUGUGAGUGAUAUUCUGAGGCAGGGGGAUGACAGUGAGUGAAUCUGUGAUGCAGGGGGGUGACGCUAAAUGACUGUCUGAGGCAGGGGGAUGACUGUGAGUGAUAUUCUGAGGCAGGGGGAUGACAGUGAGUGAUUUUCUGAGGCAGGGGGAUGACUGUGAGUGAAUUUCUGAGGCAGGGGGAUGACUGUGAGUGGCUGCUGUGGGUGAGGGUCAGGUACGCACACCCGCCCCAGCAGAGCCUGCCGGGAGCUCAGCCUCCGCACACACGGACAGACAGACAGACAGACAGACAGCCCCGCCUCUGCGUCCCCCUUGGCCGAUGUGCGCGACACAGCGCCCCGGGCUUCCCGCCUCAGAGCGGCGCCGGCGGCCUCUGACUCUGUCCCGCGGGGCCGAGCCGGGACGCGGAUCGCGUGAGCUCCUCGUUCAAGGCGGGGCGCGGAAGAGAGGAGCCGCGGCGACUCUGCUGUCCCCACCAGCCACGGCCCCGCCUCCUCCGCCGGCCGGGGGGGCCCCGCGUCCCCUGAGGGGGGACCUUCCGCGCAGGCGUCUCCCCGCCUCUGCCCGGUCGGCGCUGCCUGCGAUCCCUUGUGUUCCAGAGUCCAGCACAUUAACGAGUAUUUGUGGCACACGUAGAGAGGGGCAGAGGCAGGGGGAUUGCUGAGUUGGAGGCCAGCCUGGUCUACAGAGUGAGCUCCAGGACAGCCAGGGCUACACAGAGAAACCCUGUCUCGAAAAACCAAAAAAAGUUUCUGAGGCAGGGGGAUGACUGUGAGUGUGUUUCUGAGGCAGGGGGAUGACCAGGAAUGAAUGUGUGAGGCAGGGGGAUGAUCCCUGUGGCCUUUGGUCCUCACGGCGAGUGAUUUUGGGGGUGGGGGAGGGGUCCCGCCCUGGGGAAAGCGAGACAGACGGGACCCGAGAAUCCACACGGACAGUCUGGACCCCCGGCCCCUCCCGUCUGCAGCGCGGCCGCCAUCGAGCCUCCCGGUGGUGACGUCAUUUGAAAGAAGACAAUGGAAUCCUCACGACGGCCGCAUUCUCCUCGGUCACCACCGGGUGGCGGCAGAGAGCACGCCGGGAAAAACUUCCGCUCCGGAAGUCCUCCAAGGGGUCGGAUCUGCCCGUCGCCUCCCAGCCAGGAUAGUGGCUCUUCCCAGUGUCAAACCCCAAAGUAACUCUGAAGACCAUCAAGGAUCCAAGGCAUCCGUUUGAAGAGGAGCAGGUGGAGAGGAGACUGUGGUGGAGACCGGCCAGCAACACAACCCCACUUAACCCACAAUGGGCUCUGGAGUUUUCUUUACUGACACCUUGCGUGUCAUUUCUUCCUCUUUGGUGCUGGAAUUCUCGGGUUCCACAGAAGGCUCCGGGCUUAUAUUAUUUCACUUGAUCAGCAAGGUUCACCAUCCCAGGUCUCUCUUGACCUUGAAGACUGGCAGUGGGCUACUUAGAACUUUUGGCUUCCUUUUUUUGUUUGUUUGUUUUUUGUUUUUCGAGACAGGGUUUCUCUGUGUAGUCCUGGCUGUCCUGGAACUCACUCUGUAGACCAGGCUGGCCUCGAACUCAGAAAUCCGCCUGCCUCUGCCUGGGUGCUGGGACCAAAGGCGUGCGUCACCACGCCCCGGCGAUGUGGCUUUCUUUUCUAAAACCCUUUGACUCGCUCAAUUCACUUGUGCCUGGGGAUUAUAGUGACUCUUAACGGAAUGUGUUCAAGGAUGAAAAGACAGAACCAGUAGGACUGGCUGGUUGUUACUCAGUAGCCAUCACAUUCUGCUUCCUCCCGAGAGCUCAAAUAGCCUGUAGCCCCGCCUGUGCAGGGGUGAUUGACAUUCAUAUGACCAGUGAGUAACUGGAUAUCGUGUGCAUUUCAAAAGCUCCCUUAGCACCUAUUCAAGAGUAACCUCGCGAAUCAACAACGGGGGACCUGUGAGGCAAGGUCAGAGUUGUAGGCAGUGAUCCUCGGUGCGAGGCCGGCCCCACAGCCCUCGUUGGGCACAGCUGGCAGCACUGUAGCUGUGAGAGUCAGUGGUCAUUUCACGUGUGGCGCCAGUGGAGGUCCAGUGGCACAGGGACUUGAGUCAAUUAUUUUGUUUAGGUGGAGAGAACCGUGCAUGUGGAGGCAGAUGUUUCCCCAAGCAAGGGAAAACAGAAUCUGGGUCACUUCUGUUCUCAGAGAUUGCCAGUGAGAGGAGCUGAGCUGGUGGCCCAUCCAUCUUGCUUGGGAAUGGCUUCAGUGUCCCCCAACCUGACCUCUCUCAUCUGCAGUCAAUUGAAGAACUGGUGAACGAUCAGCCUUUGCUCUGGGGUCCCACUGUGCGUCCUCUGUUGCUGUCUCUGAGCUUACUUUUCAUUUGCAUGAUGAGCAUAUUACAUAUAAAUAGUAAAAAUCACCAUGGGACAUCAGGACUUAAACAGGAAGCAUGUAUUGUGUCAUACAGUCUUGUGUGUUGGGAAUUUGAGACAUCUUAGUGGGGUCGUUUCACUACAGUCUCUCUCGGACGAGGGAGAACGUCUACUCCGUCAUUAGGAGAUUUGGCUGGAGGUGGGGCUUAAUUGCUUUCAGGUGUUCAUGCCUCCGGCUGCUCGCAGAGACCUCACUUCCUCAUCUCACGAGUCUCUCCACUACUGCCUCAGAGUCCUGUGACAUGACCGCAAGCAACAGCAAUGCGUGACAGCAAGACAGUAAACUUCUUUCUAUACUCUAAGGUCAGCCUGACUCAAGGAAAUGACUACCAGGAAGUCUAAGCUACCGUGGACCAUCAUGAACGCUAUGAACACAGUGGACUAAUAUCAGUUCUGUUCAUUGAAUCCCAAUGUUUUUCAUUUGUUUGUUUUGAGACAGGGUGUCCUAGGCUGGCUUCAAACCGCUACUGCUCCCUGAGUGCUGGAACUAAACCACAUUUGGUUUGUGCAGUGCUGAGGAUGGAACUCGGGGCUCUGCUGGUAAUAGACAAGCACUCUACCAACCGAAUUACAUCAACAGUCCCAUUGUGAGGCUUUGUGUACAUACUCUGUGUUAGACUCCCCCCUCCCCCCACUAUGACACAUAGUGAAAUGUGUUCUGAGAGGAACAAAUUAAAGAGAGAAUUUGUUUUGGGU